rnacentral:rRNA from 1 species
UACGGAGGGGGCUAGCGUUGUUCGGAAUUACUGGGCGUAAAGCGCACGUAGGCGGCUUUGUAAGUUAGAGGUGAAAGCCCGGGGCUCAACUCCGGAAUUGCCUUUAAGACUGCAUCGCUGGAAUCGUGGAGAGGUGAGUGGAAUUCCGAGUGUAGAGGUGAAAUUCGUAGAUAUUCGGAAGAACACCAGUGGCGAAGGCGACUCACUGGACACGUAUUGACGCUGAAGUGCGAAAGCGUGGGGAGCAAACAGG